rnacentral:rRNA from 1 species
UACGUAGGGUGCGAGCGUUGUCCGGAAUUACUGGGCGUAAAGAGCUCGUAGGUGGUUUGUCGCGUUGUUCGUGAAAUCUCACGGCUUAACUGUGAGCGUGCGGGCGAUACGGGCAGACUAGAGUACUGCAGGGGAGACUGGAAUUCCUGGUGUAGCGGUGGAAUGCGCAGAUAUCAGGAGGAACACCGGUGGCGAAGGCGGGUCUCUGGGCGAGUGACUGACAUGAGGAGCGAAAGCGUGGGGAGCGAACAGGAUUAGAAC